GAAUACUGUUAACAGGCACCUAAAUUGAUCAGUCUGUGUGAACGCCACGCAGUGACUCCCCAUGUGUGGUUAUUUCAACCAGGUGCAGCUGAUCCACAACGUGAAUUCUGCCUUCCAGAACAGCUCUUAUAUAAUCCUCUGAAUCAUCUACCUGUUGCCACAUGUAUAGAAGGGC